rnacentral:rRNA from 1 species
GACGAACGCUGGCGGCGUGCCUAAUACAUGCAAGUCGAGCGCAGGAAACUGACGGAACUCUUCGGAGGGAAGGCAGUGGAAUGAGCGGCGGACGGGUGAGUAACACGUAAGGAACCUGCCUCAAGGAUUGGGAUAACUACGAGAAAUCGGAGCUAAUACCGGAUAGUUCAACGGACCGCAUGGUCCGCUGAUGAAAGGCGCUUCGGCGUCACCUUGAGAUGGCCUUGCGGUGCAUUAGCUAGUUGGUGGGGUAACGGCCCACAAAGGCGACGAUGCAUAGCCGACCUGAGAGGGUGAUCGGCCACACUGGGACUGAGACACGGCCCAGACUCCUACGGGAGGCAGCAGUAGGGAAUCUUCCACAAUGGACGAAAGUCUGAUGGAGCAACGCCGCGUGAGUGAUGAAGGUUUUCGGAUCGUAAAACUCUGUUGUAAGGGAAGAACACGUACGAGAGGGAAUGCUCGUACCUUGACGGUACCUUACGAGAAAGCCACGGCUAACUACGUGCCAGCCGCCGCAGUAA